rnacentral:pre_miRNA from 1 species
UUUCUAAUCCCUCCGUCCGAAAAUACUUGUCAUCAAAAUGGAUAAAAAGAGAUGUAUCUAAAACUAAAAUACAUCUAGAUACAUUUCCUUUUAUCCAUUUUGAUGACAAGUAUUUCCGGACGGAGGGAGUAUUUG